UUACAAAAACAUCUUCUGAGUUUAAUAUCUUAGGUAAAGCCUGCUCACUGAUUUAAAGAGCCGCAGUAUCCUAACUGUGCUAAGGUAGCAUAAUCAUUAGUUACUUAAUUUGUAACUAGAAUGAACGGCCCGACAAAAGAAUAACUUUAUUAUUUUUUUUGUUAAAUUAAUCUAAGAAUAAAAAAGUUCUUAUAAAUUAGAAAGACGAUAAGACCCUAAAACCUUAUAUAUAAAUAUUUUACUGGGGUGGUAAUUUAUUCUCCAUAAGUUAAAAUAACAUUAUGAAUGAUAUUAUCUAUUUAAUUAAUUCAAAAAGGUACUUUAGGGAUAACAGCAUAAUUUUUAUUUAGAGUUCUUAUCGACAUAAGAGAUUAUGACCUCGAUGUUGAAUUGAUUUAACU
rnacentral:rRNA from 1 species